GCCCCUCUCGGGUUACCGAAUUCAGACAAACUCCGAAUGCCAAUUAAUUUAACUUGGGAGUCAGAACAUGGGUGAUAAGGUCCGUGUUCGAAAGGGAAACAGCCCAGACCACCAGCUAAGGUCCCAAAAUAUAUGUUAAGUGGAAAAGGAUGUGGCGUUGCCCAGACAACUAGGAUGUUGGCUUAGAAGCAGCCAUCAUUUAAAGAGUGCGUAAUAGCUCACUAGUCGAGUGACACUGCGCCGAAAAUGUACCGGGGCUAAACAUAUUACCGAAGCUGUGGAUUGUCCUUUGGACAAUGGUAGGAGAGCGUUCUAAGGGCGUUGAAGCAUGAUCGUAAGGACAUGUGGAGCGCUUAGAAGUGAGAAUGCCGGUGUGAGUAGCGAAAGACGGGUGAGAAUCCCGUCCACCGAUUGACUAAGGUUUCCAGAGGAAGGCUCGUCCGCUCUGGGUUAGUCGGGUCCUAAGCUGAGGCCGACAGGCGUAGGCGAUGGAUAACAGGUUGAUAUUCCUGUACCACCUAUAAUCGUUUUAAUCGA
rnacentral:rRNA from 1 species